rnacentral:rRNA from 1 species
UACGGAGGAUCCGAGCGUUAUCCGGAUUUAUUGGGUUUAAAGGGAGCGUAGGUGGAUUGUUAAGUCAGUUGUGAAAGUUUGCGGCUCAACCGUAAAAUUGCAGUUGAAACUGGCAGUCUUGAGUACAGUAGAGGUGGGCGGAAUUCGUGGUGUAGCGGUGAAAUGCUUAGAUAUCACGAAGAACUCCGAUAGCGAAGGCAGCUCACUGGACUGCAACUGACACUGAGGCUCGAAAGUGUGGGUAUCAAACAGG